rnacentral:rRNA from 1 species
UACGUAGGGGGCAAGCGUUGUCCGGAUUUACUGGGCGUAAAGAGCGUGUAGGCGGCCACGCAGGUCCGUUGUGAAAACUGGAGGCUCAACCUCCAGCUGUCGACGGAAACCGUGUGGCUAGAGUCCGGAAGAGGAGAGUGGAAUUCCUGGUGUAGCGGUGAAAUGCGCAGAUAUCAGGAAGAACACCAAUGGCGAAGGCAGCUCUCUGGGACGGUACUGACGCUGAGACGCGAAAGCGUGGGGAGCGAAGCAGG